ensembl:lncRNA
GGAAAAUGUAUACAAUUUCAGCUUGUUGACUCCAGACUUAGAGGGCAGAUACCCUAGAUAACAUUCUUUCCUCCAGAACUCCAUGGAAGAACAAACACAGGCCACUUGUAUACUGACAGGGAGGCAAACAAGGUAUGUACAAUCAGUGGUGUAAAGUACUGAAGUAAAAAUACUUUAAACUACUACAGUAGCUUUUUGGGGUAUCUGUACUUUACUUGAAUAUUUAUAUUUUUUGACUACUUUUACUUUUGUACAUUCCAAAAGAAAAUAUUGUAUUUCUUACUCCAUACAUUUUCCCUGACAACCAAAGUACUCAUUACAUUUUGAAUGCAUAGCAGGACAGGAAAAUAGCCAAAUUCACCACUUAUCAAUAGAACAUAUCAUCCCUACUGCCUCUGUUCUGGCAGACUCACUAAACACAAAUUCAUCUUUUGUAAAUAAGGUCUGAGUGUUGGAGUGUGACCCUGGCUAUCCGAAAAAUGUAAAAACAGGAAAAUGGUGCCAUCUGCUUUGCUUAAUAUAAGGAAUUUUAAAUUAUUUAUAUGUUUACUUUUGAUACUUAAGUAUAUUUUAGCAAUUACAUUUACUUUUGAUACUUAAGUAUAUUUAGAACCAAACACUUUUAGACUUUUACUCAAGUAGUAUUUUACUGGCUGAUUUUCACUUUUACUUGAGUCCCACUGAUUAGUAUUUGUAUAUAUGUGUCCUUUGGUGCGUUGAUAAGUGUUGCAAUGUUCGUUGGUGCGUGUGAGUACCUGUGCUGUGUGUUUUGGGCUUUCGUGCCCUUGUGGAUUGAUCAGAUGAUUACGGGUUUCGUCCCGUGUGUUAAUCAUUGUGCGCGUGUGAAUUUAUUCCAGGUACUCCUCGCUCUUUUGUUUGGGUUUCUACCUUGUGUGUUGUGUACGUGUGUGUUUGGUCUUUGUCCCCGUACCUUUACACGGCACACUGUAAUUAGGGGUAUAAUUUUUUUAAAUGAUUCCGCAUUGCUGCGCCUGUCUCCCGAAUCAUUGUUACCAAUGUGACAAGGUACUGUAUCUAUACUUUUACUCAAGUAUGCCAAUUGGAUACUUUUUCCACCACUGUGUACAAUUGGUAUUGGUUUGUCACAUAAUGUUAUACAAAUCACAUGUAGGCUAUCAUCUAAUUUGUAUUAAUGGUUUCUCUAAAACCUUAUAGCACUCAGUCACAGCAGCCAUCUUCUUCCUUCCUGAGCUCUUCGAUGUAGAUUCCAGACGUCUCUACAUUAUGGACAAGAUUUCAUCCUCCCUACACCGCUGAUGAAUAUAACUGCAAACCUGUUCGAUCACCAUUCACUGCAAAAUCAUUCUUGCUAUGGAUACGAAGGAUAUCAACAUAUUAACACGCCAGAGAAAAUAUUGACUGAACUUGGAGCUCUGCUGGGAGUUGACCUAAUAUUUAUAUUUUUGAAUUCUGCUUUGCCACUAAAAUCAUAAUAAACAUUGACUACUAAACUAUUGUGUUAUUGUUAUGCUGAUUCAUAAUAUAAAUAAUGAGGGG